GGGGACAGAUGGCAGGUGGCCAAGGCUAGGCCCUUGUUGACAUUAUCAAGUAACAACAGCUGAAGUAUUCCUCAGGGGCCCAGCUUUGGUUUCUCAACAGGAACCAAUCCAACCAAUGGGCCCAGGGCAGUGUGAGGAGCCUGGGGCUAGAGGGCGGCCGGCCAGGCCCUGCAGGACAGGAAGGUCCACAGCGGAGGCCCCGGGCUCGGCUAGCGCCCCAAGCAGCAGAGCCAUCUCCACACGGAGUCCCUGAGACGACGGAGCUGCCAGAAGCGGUGAAGAAGAGAGGCGCCACAGGAAAACGAGGCGUCCAAGAUGAGAAGCAGUACAUACAAAACAGACUACAUUAUCUGCUGUGAGUUUUCUGGGGAAACAAAACCAAGGGAGCUCCUACACAAUCAUUGAAGGAAGAGUUGAGACCACCAGCUUGUAGUCUUCAUGCCAAUCUUGGGCCAGUCAACCCACACAGCUACUUGAGCCAAGAGAAACUUUGACCUUAACAUCAGAUGCUCAGACUUUGAUCCCUCCUGGGCUU